rnacentral:rRNA from 1 species
AUUGAACGCUGGCGGCAGGCCUAAAACAUGCAAGUCGAACGAGUGGCGGACGGGUGAGUAAUGUCUGGGAAACCGCAUGAGGGAGGGGGAUAACUACUGGAAACGGUAGCUAAAACCGCACACCAUCGGAUGUGCCCAGAUGGGAUUAGCUAGUAGGUGGGGUAACGGCUCACAUAGGCGACGAUCCCUAGCUGGUCUGAGAGGAUGACCAGCCACACUGGAACUGAGACACGGUCCAGACUCCUACGGGAGGCAGCAGUAGGGAAUAUUGCACAAUGGGCGCAAGCCUGAUGCAGCCAUGCCGCGUGUGUGAAGAAGGCCUUCGGGUUGUAAAGUACUUUCAUCGGGGAGGCGUUACCCACAGAAGAAGCACCGGCUAACUCCGUGCCAGCAGCCGCGGUAAUAC